CCUUUCUUUGGGCCAGUGCUGCAGGGCAGGGAGAAGGCCUGGGUUUUCCUCAGCUGGAGGAGGUGGGGUUUCUCUUUGGCCUGCAGGGCUUGGGCCUUCCUCAGAACCCUGACAGAAGGUUAACAUUUUACCUUUUUUUCUUGUUUCCACUUUUGGUUUGUAAUCUCUGUUCAUGAAUUUGUUGUUUGUUUUCCAGGGAAGAGUUGGAGCUGGUGCCCAGUCCGGGUGGGAAGGGCUGGGACCAUCCCUGGAGAGGAUCUGACGUCCCCUCUGAGAAGGCUGAGGACAUCCUUUGGGACACGCUCUUCUUGCGGCAGCAGAUCUUGGGAGGUAGAUGCUCAUCUUGCCCAUCUUGUCAGCAGCAGUGGGAUAAUGGCUUUGGGGAGAUGGCAGCAGGCACAUGAACAUCCCGCUCUUGCAGCUGCUGAGGAGGUUGAUCUCCUGGGCUUGGCUGGAGGAGGUGGCACCUGUGUUGAGUAAUUGCUGAAAUCCAAUCGAUCUGGGAUGACCCCAAAUGACAGUUUAGUUUUCAGCUUGCUCGAGCUGUAUCUCAGCAGCUUUUGGGUAUCAUUUUUGGCCCCAGACAGGACACCUCUGCCUGAUCUCCCGCGGAUCCGAGGGAUCUCUGGAUCUUCACGCCAGCACCAGGACUUUGCUGCAGAAGAGCACAGAUCCCCAGCCCAGUCUGGGACACAGAACGUGUGAAAGGGCAGAAAGAUUGUGGUGUGAAUGCAGCGCCCUCAGAGCCCUUGGUGUGAGCCCGGAAAGGAAAAUCCAGCUGAGGGACAAGAUCAGUCUAAUUUGGGGACAUUGUUGGAGGUUGGAGUUGCAGUUCUGGAAGAAAUCCCUGAGGAAAUGGUGCCCCAGGGAGAGGAAGAGGAUGAGAGCGUGGGCAGCCUGCUUCAAACAUCCCCCCAGGAGACUUGGGAUCAGUCCCUGUGCAUCCUGUAAGAAAGAUGGACACUGGAAAUGGGAUUGUCCGCAACUGAAACUUCAGAACCCUCCGAACCCUCUCGUGGCAUCACUGAAGACGACUGAGGGGCACCAGAGGAUUCUUCCCCAUCAGAACAUCUGGUUCCAGCCAAGCUAAGCACAAUUGUUUGUGGCUGUGGGAACUUGUUCCUCUGUGUUAAAUGCAGGAAAUGAAACUCAAGGGACAAUUCUAGAACAAUUGUCUGGUGUGCCAGGGAAUUGGGAAACUGGGCCAUUUUUAAUGCUGUGGCUUUGAAAUUGGGAAAACAGUGGUUGGCUCCCCAGUUUUUGUAUUUCCCCAAUUCCCCAAAGCCUCUGCUUGGGAGAGAUCUCUUGGCAAAAUGAAAUGCCACAAUCCAAUUGAAAAAUGGUCCAAUAUAGGUUAUUAUUGCAGAGCCUAAUUCUGUGCAAGUUUCUAGUUUUGCAUGAGAGUCUCUCAAAGCAGAAGUAAUCCAUCUGCCACCAUCACUUGGGGAUGCAGUGGUUCCAACAGGAUGGGCUGGAGAGGUGCCUCCAUGAUCCAAGAGAGCAGAACCCGUGAGAAUUCCAGAGAAACCUGGAGUGGGGUUGGUGAGGCCAAAGCAAUGUCCUUUGCAAAUAGAAAGUUGUAAGGGAUUCUCACCCUUUGUAGAACAAUUGAUGAAAUUUUGCUUGUGAAAAGAAGGUGAAUCUAAAUGGAA